AUUUUAAUUAACAUCCAAUAAGAAGCCAACACUUUCUUUUCAAGUAAGCUAGAAUUAGCAGCAGUCAGGCGAUCCUCAAAUCCAGCAUCCAUGAGGCCUCAGCGGAGUAACCUUAUUCAAAUUAUGCCAAAGUCGAUCAGCCUGGCACCAAGGAGGAAUUCAACCAAUAGGAGGUGAACAAGUUAAUGAUGAAUGGAAUAGAGGAAGAAGCACAGGUACACUUGCAAAGUCACCCAAGCCAUCAAGUUGCCAGCUAUUGGGAAUGAAAAACAAUGUCUUCCCCAUCAAUAGCUGCUAUGAAACACAAUUUUUGGUGUCUCUGCCUAGUGAUUCAUUUCAUAUCCUAACAUUUAUCUGAAUCUUCAUUAAGUUUAAUAAAGAAUGGCCAAUGUGCA
rnacentral:lncRNA from 1 species